AUGAUCUCUUCAUCUUUAGUGCUGCUUCUGGCAGUGAUAUCCUGUAUUGAUUCAUAUGAACUCACUCAGCCUGAGUCUCUGAUUGUCCGUCCUGAUGCCACUCUCACUAUCAACUGUAAAGUCUCAUAUUCAGUUACAAGUAUUGAAUGCCAGACAUUCACUCAGUCUGAAGCAGUGGUUAAAAAACCAGGAGAAUCUCACAAACUUACAUGUACAAUAACUGGAGUUACUUUCAGCGGUCUCUAUCUGAGCUGGAUCAGACAGAGCCCUGGAAAAGGACUGGAGUGGAUUGCAUACAUCAGCACAGCUAGUACUCCAAUCUACUAUUCCCAGUCAGUUCAGGGCAGGUUCACGGUGUCCAGAGAUGAUUCCAGCAGUCAACUCUAUCUACAGAUGAACAGCCUCAAGACUGAAGACACUGCUGUGUAUUACUGCGCUACAGAGUCACUGUGA